rnacentral:rRNA from 1 species
GUCUCCGGCCAUGCCAACCCUGAACAUGCCCGAUACCGUCUGAUCUCAGAAGCUAAGCAGGGUCAGGCCUGGUUAGUACUUGAAUGGGAGACCACCCAGGAAGACCGGGUGCUGCAGGCG